rnacentral:rRNA from 1 species
CGGCCGCGUCGACGACGAACGCUGGCGGCGUGCCUAAUACAUGCAAGUAGAACGCUGAAGAGAGGAGCUUGCUCUUCUUGGAUGAGUUGCGAACGUGUGAGUAACGCGUAGGUAACCUGCCUUGUAGCGGGGGAUAACUAUUGGAAACGAUAGCUAAUACCGCAUAACAAUGGAUGACACAUGUCAUUUAUUUGAAAGGGCCAAUUGUUCCACUACAAGAUGGACCUGCGUUGUAUUAGCUAGUAGGUGAGGUAAUGGCUCACCUAGGCGACGAUACAUAGCUGACCUGAGAGGGUGAUCGGCCACACUGGGACUGAGACACGGCCCAGACUCCUACGGGAGGCAGCAGUAGGGGAUCUUCGGCAAUGGACGGAAGUCUGACCGAGCAACGCCGCGUGAGUGAAGAAGGUUUUCGGAUCGUAAAGCUCUGUUGUAAGAGAAGAACGAGUGUGAGAGUGGAAAGUUCACACUGUGACGGUAUCUUACCAGAAAGGGACGGCUAACUACGUGCCAGCACGG